CUAUCAAUGUAAAUUCAGAUGCAAACCAAACUUAUAUUGUCUUCUUGUGGUAGGCUUGGAUGGAAAGCAGGGUUACUAAUUGUGGCUAAGAGAUAGAGAAAGAACAACAGUCCUGCAGUGUAGACUAUUAUCCCUUACGUGUUAUUUUGGAGUUGAGGGACACUGUUUUUCAUGUACCACACUUUCAUUGUAAGACACGCACACUGCAGGUUUCAUGAGGGGAGAGGCAAAAAGACCGUGAGUACUUUAAAACAACUUCCCUGUGCUAUUCUUUACUUAGGAACGCACUGCUUUAAAAGUUUCUGUUUUCCAAGGAAAGUCCCAUAUGCUGUCCUGGUAAAUCAUUCCGUCUCUUUCUCCACCUUCAGUGAUGCAUUGUUCAUAUUUUGUUAGUGUAACUUGCUAGAAAUGUUGGAGGAUAUUGUUGGAAAAGUCAUAUACAUCCUGGUAGAAAAAGAUUACUUAUAUGUGCCUUUGUGUUAUAAGGUCAAACCUGCAGUAUCCCUGCUCCUUUUCCUCCAAAGGUAUCAGAAUUCCGAGCCAGGCUUCUGUUUAGCUGUGUUUAGACUGGAACUCUCAGGUCUGCAAGGGAAGUUAAUCCCUGCCUAUUCUUUUGCUAACAGCAGUGACAGCUGAUAAGGCUGCCUGGUUAGUUUAAUGGCAGCUCUGCAAUCACCCUUAUUUGCAUGAUCAAACUCACAGGUAAGAUUCACAAUAAUCCCCGACUUUCCCGAAUUGUUGUGUCAAUCUCCUGUAGUCGACACUAUUGUAUUAGUCCUCUCUGCAGAUCUCUCAUUCUUUUGACUGUGUUCCCCUUAUUUUGUCCCAACCUACCCUGCUGCUGUACACAUGUGACUCAAACCUAUAAAACACUCAGUAUAUGUUCUGGAAGUUUGUAGUUGGUUUCACCUCUACCUGACAACGUGGUGGUAAGUUUCAUUUCUCUGCAGAGGGUGCCUGAGAGCUGUUUCUGGAAACUGCUGAGGUUCAGGGCACAAGGGAUCUUCCCUACUGAAUCCAUUUAUUCAUUCUUGUAGCUGCUGUUGAGAUGCCCUGACAAUAUAAAGUCCUGUGCUACACACUGUAAACACACUUUGCUACAACUGCCAGUUUUGGUUGUCAAACAGUGCAUAACAGUCCAAUGAAAGUCACACACAUGCUGCAGAAAUACAACUGAUUACUUGCUGCUGUUUAACAAUUUGGAUUUCCAGGAUAAACUCCCAGGAAUAAAGCCCCCCAAACACUUCAACUUUAGUUUAGUUUCCAUACUAUUUGUGCUUCAUGUCAAUAGUGUCUACAGAGGAUACAGUGACAUUUAAAAUCCAAGUAUAAAUUCUAACCAUCAAGAGUUUUGUGCUAUCUUCAUUGACUGAUUUUCAGAUUUCAUUAGGAAUGUUGUUGUGUAGCUGAGAGAUCACCUUGCACUACCAUGUUUACUUACCAAGUAAACAACAAAAUUAAAAGGUGCCCUUUGUUAAUGGUUUUUUCUCCUAUGUAUUUGACCUGAAAUAUCUGUUUAAAAAACCCCAAACUAAAACACUAAAGCACACUUAAUUGACUUGGAAUGUUAUAUCAAGCAGAAUUUUGUUGUUGGAAUACUGUAAAAAUAUAAAGAUGAUUGUAUAUGCUUCCAUUACAUGGAAACUUGGACACAUCAAAAACUGUAUAUAUUCUAAUAAAUUUUAACAAUCUAAAGAAUAAUGUGUGACAUGCAACUAACCACUGCCCAUCUUGUCCAAUCUUCCGUUUCACUGACGCAAAUUAUUAGUUCCAUUUUCAGUGGAGACACAGGUGUAUUGCAUGAAAUUUGCACAUUCUUUCACACAUUCUCUUGGAAUAAUCACCACAAAAACCUAAUUAAAACUGCCACACUUAUUUUAAGCUAUUUGUCAAGAAUAGUUACCAAAUACAUAGACAAGAGGCAUCCUAUCCCAAUUAAUCCCCUUUUUUCCAGAAAACCUGAAAAGGGAUUUCUAAGUUUAAAAUGCUUGUUUAGCCCAUAGACCCUACAGUCCACAUAUUUGCACAGAAACCAGUUAUUAAAACAAACAAUAAAACGGGGCUAAAUUAGGAUAUGUAAAAUGUAACAGAGUAUAUAUAACUAAUAAUACAGUUUGAGAACUAAAUAUAUCCACACAAAAGAAGAUAAAUUCAGCAAUGGAUUUUUCAUUCUAAACACUGCCUAUGUCAGAGCCUAAUUCAGAAAAAAAUGGCAAAAACAAUCAUUUUAAGACUUAUUUAGAUCUCUAUAAGACAUCCAGAAAAGAAAAGGAGAGAAAAUAUAAGCAGUGAAUUACAAGAGACUGAAUCCAGAAAAUGGGAACAGCUGGAACAUAUGCAAGGAAACCAUGUGGUUUGGAAAUAGAAGCAUCAGCAAAAUCCAUGAGAGAAAAUUUUCCAUAAAGUUUUCUGACAUUUUCAUAUAAGCCACACUGGAAAGUGGGGAGAGAUGUAAAAUGUAAAACUUGGCAAAAGAUCAUUUUUCAUUUAAGCAGGUGUUAAGUACUUUACCAUGUCCUGUAUGGCAAUGCAACACAAGAUAGCUGUUUUUACAUUUGAAAUGUUUAACAUUUUUCUUGCAUGCUCUAUGUAUAGAAGUAGCAGCUAUUUGGUGCUAUGGAACCCAAGGACAUAAGGGCUGUGUUGGAUCAGACCGAAGUCUGGUGUUCUGCUCGCACAGUUGCCUGUCAGAACUCAUAAGUAGCCCCUUCCAACUUAGGUGUGCCAGCAAGCUCUAUGCAGAGACCUAGUGCCUCUGAUUCCUGAGGUAAUGGAGAGCAGUGGUUUUCAACUGCUGGCCCUUGCCGGUCCGUGAAGAGCUGCUGCUGUGCACAACGGGGGCAUCUCGCUUGCCAGGACCAGCACGGGCUGCCGAUGACCUGCCUCUUCUUCGGCCGAGGAGGCUGGGCAGAGAAGAGGCGGCUCAGUCUGCCCUCUGGACGGGGCCACAAAGACAGAGCCUAUCCUUUCUUCUGCUGCUGGGAAGAGAAAUGCUGAGGUGGGCUUCUGCUGUGUGUGUUUUCUCAGCUCCUGUGUCUGGGGGCUUGCGGGGGGUUCAUUGUAUUUCAGUAUUUAACAUUAUGCAUAUUAGUGUAUUAAGUAACUUGGUUUGAUUUUGUAUUGUCCCGCUGUUAAUAUUGUAUUUGAAUUUGCUUCCAGGGGAAUGGUGACUUGAUGAAGCACCAGGGAAUGUUGCUGUUUUGUGCCUUGUCAUGUUUGGGUGAUUAUAAAUCGCCAUGAGGGUGAUCGCUAGAUAACUUCUCUAAAGGACAGGGGAGCAUCAAGACUCUUCUCUGCAGCUCUGAUUUUAUCAAGAUGGCCUGAUAAGACACCUGAUUGGUUCAGGCAGCUCCCACAUGACUGUCAAGAGCAGCUUUAAAAGAUCGGUGGAGAGGUGCCAAUGUGUGCAUUGAACAGCUGAGCUACAAUGGCUGCACUGCUCAUCUUGUACCUGAACUUUGCUGUGGGGGCAGGUAAGAUGCAAGGACUCCAGUAUUAAUUUCUGUUCCUUCCAGGCAAAAACUUCCUAGCCAAACUCUUUCCAUUACGCCUUCUAACAAUUACACAGAUGAUAUAGGCCAACUAGUAGGGCAACACAAGAGGGCCAUUCACAUGAAAGUGUGGAGGAGAAAGAUUUCUGCAGACCACUGGGAGCCUCCAGGUCUGCAUGGAAAAUCGCUCAUUGAAAGUAAAAUAGGGGUUCUAGUUCAGGUGUGUUCAGCUGAUGAUCACAAGGAAACCUGGCAGUUUGAGGGCAUCACCAAGGAGUGCGCAGAGUGCCUUAUCACUUGCCAAAAUUCAAGGUGGGCAGGCAACAGGAGCUGCGGGCAAAGAGCUGUCUCAUCCAGGGGGUUCAGAUGCCACAGAGGUCGUGAGGGCCCCUGUGCCUUUAUUUCAGCAAGUGUGGUAGGUUAGAUGGCUUCCAGACCUAGAGGGCUACCCGUUACUCUGCCUCUAGAGCAGUGGAAGCAAGCUCUGUUUUAUUCCACUAGUGAUGAUGGUGCAAGUUAUAAGUUGGUUUAAUAUGCAAAAAUGCACAUGCUCAAAGGGUUUUUUUUAAAGGGGGCAAGAAAGAAGGAGAGGCAAAUGGGCAGACUGAAUGCUACACAACUGCAUUGUGGGGGAGUGGUUAAGAAUGCUGGUUUAGUAUUUAGCAAUGUAAGACCAGAAGAAGAGGUAGGUUAACAGAAAGAAGAAGAUUAAACAGGAAUAUACUGAUGGAGUGGGGAAGGGCAGGCAGGGCAGGGCAAAUGAACAGGCAGCUUUGGGGGCUGGAGUUCAGACACAGAAAGCUUUUCUUCCAAACCCGGGUGAUUUCUAUGCACCACACAGUUUGUCUGUUGCCCUUCUGUUCAACAGUCUUGGCUACGUCUGAAGUGGGUCCUCCUAAGCCAUGUCAGCAAGGUCCAGCAUUCUGGUGCAGGGAUGCGGCUACAGCUGUUGCGUGUCACAAGGAGAAAUACUGCUUGGCCGGCGAGUGGAACACUUUGGAGGGACUCAUAGAGGGGGAAGCCGAAGCCCUUGCUCCGCUUUUUAAGUGCACCAUAUGCAAGAAGAUUGUCAAGAAACUCAGGGAUCUGGCUGGAGAUGACCCAGAUGAUGAAAAAGUUGACCGAGCAAUAAAAACCCUGUGUAAGGUCCUCGGCAAGUUCCUGCAGGGGCUCUGCAAAAGGUUUCUGAGACUGUACAAGGCAAAGCUGGUGAUGGAUCUGCAGAAUGGCAUGGAGACAGAUGAGAUCUGUGUCGAUCUCAAGAUAUGCAGGCCUGGCAUACAGGCACUACCAGGUGAGAGCGAGGGGGCUCCUGGUCUCUUAAGAGGCAGUUUGGGGAGAAGGAAACCAAGCCCCUGCAACCUAAUAUUCUGCACCUUCCUUUGGGAGAAAGUUCUGUUGAGUUCCCCGGGACCUGCUUGCAAAUGAGCAUGCCAAAGAACUGCCCUGUCAGGAACUGGGGCGGCAGGCCAUGAAGGACAUUUCUCUCCUCGCCAGUCGCUCCACACAUGGAUGAGUUUUCCGCCUGAUUGGCAAGGAAGCUCCAAAUACAGAGCCAAAUUUCCCUUUCCAAGUCUUCUGCACCCAGCGCCUAAGGUGGGACUUUAGCAAGCUUGCUCUUUUUUCCUCCUCAGACCCAAAGCCACUGCAAUGGCUUACCUUAAGUUCAUAAAUGGAAAAAGAGUGAGUCCCAGUAUUUUUUUACUUUGCUUAAAUGAAGCAAGUAUCCAGGGAGACUGGCUGAAUACACAGUAUGAGUCAGUUUCUGUGAGAACCAUCUGUGGUUGAAUUUAAAAAAAUAGUUUUGCACUUAGAAGGGAGUUGCAGGGAUGGGUUUAGCCAGAGUGUAUUUUUCCUGUGGUGAAAAUUGCCAUCCAAUGGAGCAGGCUGGACUAUGGAUGGAAUUCUUCAUGUUGGAGACACAGCCAAAUAUCUGAGUGGUUUAAGACAAAGCCAGAUAUCUCAGCAUUAGGGGAUUAAGUCAAUCAGGUUCCAUCCAAUUUGCUUGGUUAACUUUAUUCCUAUGCGAGCUGAAAUUCUGUCUCAGGCAUCAGCUCUAUUGUGCACAUAUGAGAAGAGACAGAGUGUUUCAUACGCUGAUCUUAAUGAUCCAUGUUUUGUUCUCUAUACCAGGUCUGCCUCACUAUUAAACCUCAACAGAGUGAAAACUGGCCCAGGUUCCUUUGGAUGCGUGCUGUCUGUUCUUCUGCAAAGCUUAAAGCAUUUCCAUUUCCGGGCUGCAGCGUUUGCUGUUUUCUUUGAACGACGAAGCAAUGCAAGUUUCUGUUACCUUAAAUAAAGUGCAGCAGUGAGCUUGUCUCACUUACUUUGUGCACAUUUACUUACUUAGCCGUUGUCCAAGGCUGGUUUCAUUCUGGCUCUGCUAUUUGACUGAAUGAUGUUUAAUUUGAUGUACAUACUGUCAGAUUAAGCAUUGCUUCAGCUGUC